UCCGCCACCGUUAGGGAGACCUUCUUUGGGGAGGAUACAUUGUUAUAUAGGAAACGCGGUUAAUCCCAUCACCUGAAAUCCCCUUUCCCCUCUUCGUUGAUCCUCUCAUGGAUGUGACCAUUACUGCGGUCGAUCCUCCUGAAACAUCGGGCUUGAGUUACUCUGGCAAUGGGCUGCGGCUCUUCACCAUUGUUCCUCCGAAGCUGAAAGGGGACAGCUGAACAAAUACAGUUGCUAGAUUUCUAGCAAGACCUUCAGUUGUCAUUCAUCGAAAAUAACUUUCAGCAUCCAAAUUCUUGUGAGAGCAUGGAGAAAUUCUUUGUAUAGCUCAAGUCUUGGACUCUACAUUUGAGAGCUUCCUUUACUGGAAGCAGUAAGGCAGACACAUGACCCAAUUUGGAAGAAGCAUGACAAGAAUGAAGGAUGUGAAGAACAUGAAUUCAUGUCUUCCGAAAUUUUCAGGACCAAAGAGGGUCAGCCUGUCCCCCUAACCCUAACCAAUGCGUGUUGUUGUAACAGUAAAAAUAUGUGGAAAUGUGGAGAAAGGAUCAAAGAGGAAGAACUGCCUCUGCGGAGGAAAGUCAUUCAUUUCCUCUAGUGCUGGGGCCAUGGUUUGCCGGUGUUGCCUAAGUCUUCUGUCGGAAGGCACUUGAGUGUAGGGGACCUCAACCCAUCCACCGAUCAAUGUCAUCUUCUUCCAUUGAGGCGCCUUCGUCAUGCAAUGCAUCCUGCCGGACCAUCUCGAUCGCAGUUUCAUGGACAUAUUUUCUGGAUCCUCAGAGAGGGUAGGAGAGAAGAUGAACACAAGGUCAAAGGAAUAGUGACAGCAAAUAUUAUCUACCGAGAGAAAGUAUUAAUGCGAAAUGCGGCCAGGUGGAGCCACGGUGGUUGGAUUCCGGCUGGAUACGUUCACGCAGGACGGGAUAACGUGAGAAAGAGAUGGGAUCGAAGUGUACAAAGACGAGGAACAUGACAAAGCUACUCCAAAUGGGCGAUGCAUGAACGACAAGCGAGUGGAUGAGCAUUUGAUCGAUGGCGACGAAUAGAGUGGACAAACAAUUCACAUGCCAACACGUCGGCGACAACGACGGCGGCUCCAGCCGCGAAGUGGUCCUCGAGAGGCAUGCUGAGACACUCUCGAGGUUGUUCUCUGCAUGAAAGAAAGACCAACGAAGCAUCGGCACGGAGAAAUGACGGUCUUCUUCUCUUUGCGAGGCACACAUGACCACAUCCGAGGAAUGAACACGAUCGAACAGCCUUCUUCUUCAGUUUGGUUCUGUGCCGAAACAGGGGAGAUUUCACAGUGCUUUUAACUCUCUUCAGUUUCUCCACGAACAAUUUGUGGACCAUGAAGCCCACUGAACAGGAAGGACCACAUAGAACACCAUUACCUGUAGUUUAACUCUCGCUAUGCAGCAGCAUAUCAACAGGACAAUGUGAUACAACGAAGAUCGGUUUCCUGCUUCAUUAAUAUCUAUCUCCAAUCCAAGAUUUAAAUGAUGCAGAAACAUGUUCUUGAAGUUUCGAGGAGCCACGUGAUGUCUCUUGACGUGGAGAUGGAGGUCGAGCGAAGAGGGACCGGCAGAUGGGGAAAUGAGAUCGAUCGAUCCACCGGGAGGAGGGAAGGAAACAUGUCAGAAUGGACAGCCACUUAUGGAUGUACUUGCAGGCAAGAGAAUCCUGU